rnacentral:rRNA from 1 species
AUUGAACGCUGGCGGCAUGCUUUACACAUGCCAGUCGAACGGUAACAGGCCGCAAGGUGCUGACGAGUGGCGCACGGGUGAGUAAUGCAUCGGAACGUGCCCAGUCGUGGGGGAUAACUACUCGAAAGAGUAGCUAAUACCGCAUACGAUCUAUGGAUGAAAGCGGGGGACCGUAAGGCCUCGCGCGAUUGGAGCGGCCGAUGUCAGAUUAGGUAGUUGGUGGGGUAAAGGCUCACCAAGCCAACGAUCUGUAGCUGGUCUGAGAGGACGACCAGCCACACUGGGACUGAGACACGGCCCAGACUCCUACGGGAGGCAGCAGUGGGGAAUUUUGGACAAUGGGCGCAAGCCUGAUCCAGCAAUGCCGCGUGCAGGAAGAAGGCCUUCGGGUUGUAAACUGCUUUUGUACGGAACGAAACGGCUCUGGUUAAUACCCGGGGCUAAUGACGGUACCGUAAGAAUAAGCACCGGCUAACUACGUG